rnacentral:lncRNA from 1 species
CUGUGCACCACGGCCACCUGCUCUGGAGAGUACCCAAGGCUCCAGCUUCCAGAGACAGCAGACACACCACCUCACCUACCCCCUCCUUGAGCAUCAGGUCUCCAGCACCUCAUGCUUUUCCUGUCACAACCGUGCACCCUGAGCGAGCGAGCGAGCAUCACGGGGACCGUCUGAAGGAGUUCAACUCGAGGCACUGGGACAUGGUUUCUAUGGCAACCCCUCCUGGCUCUAACUCAGCUCUGAGUUAAAAAUUAUAUCAGGUUGAGUAACCAUUGGACUGCACAGCUUCUUGAGGAACGUGGAGGGCAUGAACACAGGCUCAAACAACAAGAAACAGAUGCCACGGGCUGACCAAGUCACCAAGAACCUGCACAUUAUGAGGGCCACUGGAUGCUCUCCUUAAAACCUCGGCAACAGGAUUGACUCUAGGUCCCAAAGAGAGCUGGUCUGAGUCCAGGUUCUACCUUUCUU